rnacentral:rRNA from 1 species
UAGGGAAUAUUGGGCAAUGGGCGCAAGCCUGACCCAGCGACGCCGCGUGAGGGAUGAAGGUCUUCGGAUUGUAAACCUCUUUCAGUAGGGAAGAAGCGAAAGUGACGGUACCUAAAGAAGAAGCGCCGGCUAACUAUGUG